ACAAACUUGGUCAUUUAGAGGAAGUAAAAGUCGUAACAAGGUUUCCGUAGGUGAACCUGCGGAGGGAUCAUUAAUGAGCUAGGGCCCAUGUGCCCGACCUCCAACCCUCUCUGUAUCGAAAACCUCGUUGCCUCGGGGGCGGCCCUGCCUCACGGCGGGCACCCCGGAGGGCCACUCAAACCCUGCAUUUUAGUGUCGUCUGAGUAAAGAUUUUAAAUGAAAUCAAAACUUUCAACAACGGAUCUCUUGGUUCUGGCAUCGAUGAAGAACGCAGC
rnacentral:misc_RNA from 1 species